CGAACCGGCACGAGCCACACUGUUCUCCUUUGCUCUAGGGACACCGCUCCGGCCGACCCGUCCGAGGCCUUCCCCGAGUUGUCCCUGCGUGUGCGGCGCAGCUCCCCCUCCCCGCCCCAAGGAACUUGCGCUCCGGGCCAACCCGGAUCUGCCCGGGCGCCCACAGAGCCUUCCUAUCGACUUGGGAGCCCCUCGUUCGGCUCCCGCUUUCCGAGCAACGAAAACACUUAACGUCGGCCAGAAAUCACGCUCAGAGGCCCGCGGAAAAGCAUGGCUCGGACUCCAGGCUUGAGCCACAGUUGUCACCUACCAGGGUUCAUUUCCGCCCCCGCGGGUCAAGGCCCCAAGUGGCAACCUGCAGAGCUCCUGGCCUGCAUUAGUCGCCUCCUCCCCCAGUCUUUUGAGUCCUGGGAGCCCGGAGUGUGAGUGCAACCAGCAAGGCAGGCGCCUAGAACUCCCGCGCUGUGAGUUUCGACGCCCACCGCCGGCUAGGACGCGAGGGUACUAGGCUUGACUCCCUAGAGCGCGCGCGCACACACACACACACACACACCCGCGCCCCGUAAAUCUCUCAUGUUGAGAAAAGCAAGGCUUGCAGGAAGCCACUCCGGAUGUUUGCUUCUUUACAUGUGGCAUUUGUGGCUGGCUCUGAUAACGUCAGGAGCUCCACCAGCGCGUUUAGUAAGAAGACAGAAAUACGAGCACACACAUCACCACGUCUGCGGCGCCGCCGCCUGCACCCCAUCCCCAUAUAUGUCACGAGAAUGCCGAAGAAAUGAGGCUUAGAAAAUACAUUUGAAGGAAACCCCCGUGUAAUUCCUUGGAGGGAAACGAGAUCGUCUACCACUGAAAUGCCAUUGGUUCACACAAUAAAGAUGUCAUUUUAAAAGACAAUGGCAUGAACGUUUAGUAGGUUAAUAUGUAGCACCUUGGGCAAACGCCACUUUGUGCGGUGCAGGCCAAGUUUUGCCGCACUCCUCUUCCUGGGUCUGGAGGACGCGGCGCCGGAGCCUGGCUCCAGCCAGUCUUUCCGGGGGCUGGAGUAGGUCAGAGCGCGCGGGCCCAAGGGAGGGAGAGGCCGGCCGGGUGGAACGGGGACUUGCGACCACUGGCUGGGCGUGGCCCUC
rnacentral:lncRNA from 1 species